rnacentral:RNase_P_RNA from 1 species
UGAGUAAGAAAGGCGACCGCGCCCGCGCAAGCAGGUGAGGAAAGUCCGAGCACCACAGGGCAGAGUGCCGGGUAACACCCGGCGGAGGCGACUCCAGGGAAAGUGCAACAGAAAGAAACCGCCCGGUAACGGGUAAGGAUGGAAAGGCGAGGUAAGAGCUCACCCGCGCUCCGGCGACGGAAGCGCGCUGUAAACCCCACUCGGUGCAAGAUUGGUAUGGGAGCAUUUAAUAGCGGCUCGCUACGCUCUCGGGAAUCGCAUGAGCCUCUCGGCAACGAUUGGCCUUAGAUAGAUGGUCGCACUCGACAGAACUCGGCUUAUUUCUUGCUCAAUAC